rnacentral:rRNA from 1 species
CAGUAGCCGCGGUAAUACGGAGGGUGCAAGCGUUAAUCGGAAUUACUGGGCGUAAAGCGCACGCAGGCGGUUUGUUAAGUCAGAUGUGAAAUCCCCGGGCUUAACUUGGGAACUGCAUUUGAAACUGGCAAGCUAGAGUCUAGUAGAGGGGGGUGGAAUUCCAGGUGUAGCGGUGAAAUGCGUAGAGAUCUGGAGGAAUACCGGUGGCGAAGGCGGCCCCCUGGACAAAGACUGACGCUCAGGUGCGAAAGCGUGGGGAGCAAACAGGAUUAGAUACCCGUGUAGUCCCUGUCUCUUAUAC